rnacentral:rRNA from 1 species
AUUGAACGCUGGCGGCAUGCCUUACACAUGCAAGUCGAACGGCAGCACGGGAGCAAUCCUGGUGGCGAGUGGCGAACGGGUGAGUAAUAUAUCGGAACGUGCCCAGUCGUGGGGAUAACGUAGCGAAAGCUACGCUAAUACCGCAUACGAUCUAUGGAUGAAAGCGGGGGAUCGCAAGACCUCGCGCGAUUGGAGCGGCCGAUAUCAGAUUAGGUAGUUGGUGAGGGUAAAGGCUCACCAAGCCGACGAUCUGUAGCUGGUCUGAGAGGACGACCAGCCACACUGGGACUGAGACACGGCCCAGACUCCUACGGGAGGCAGCAGUGGGGAAUUUUGGACAAUGGGCGCAAGCCUGAUCCAGCAAUGCCGCGUGCAGGAUGAA